AGGAUCAUCUAGACUGUUGGACCCAUUAUCAUCCAACUUAAUCAAAGGCUAUGAUCUAGUUAUCACCAUAACUAUUUUAUUUUUAAGGACCUAAUAAUUUUAGAUGAUUUAAUUAGAUGAAAUGAAAGAUGAGAAAAGACAUGACCGACUAAUUUUAAUCCUCUCACUGACUUCUCCAAGUCAGAUCAAAGAAGACUAAACAUAAGCUGGCUCAGCCAACCAGUCAUAAAUCCUCCCACUAACUUCAUCGAGUCAUGAAGAGGACUAUAGACAAAUUGAACUAGGGG
rnacentral:lncRNA from 1 species